UUCUGACUUCGGCAUAAAAGAAUCUCAGUCUCUCAUUCAGUUGAAAAGCAGGAAGCUCUUCGAACGUGCGUUCAAAACCUCGGAAACCAAGCCUUUCUGGAAGUGAAAAGAUUGCCUUGUUCAGGGUACAAAUGUGACGAUUUGGAGAGGUUCCCAUCCACGAUGUCCUGUACUGCUUUUUCAUCAAGGGACGCGAAGCGGUGACUGGACGCUUGAACUUUGGGCUCUACGGAAACGCUGGCUGUAUUUCCUAGUUCAGGGGCCAUCUCAGAACGGUUUCCAGCUUCAACAGCUGUUGUGGGUUAUAAUAAUAACAAAAUUAGGUGGGUGUAUGAAAGUCAUAACUAUUAUAGAGUUGCAAUAAAUGUUUUUUACUCUGUUAAAAA